rnacentral:rRNA from 1 species
UACGUAGGGGGCAAGCGUUGUCCGGAAUUAUUGGGCGUAAAGAGCUCGUAGGCGGUUUGUCGCGUCUGCCGUGAAAGUCCGGGGCUCAACUCCGGAUCUGCGGUGGGUACGGGCAGACUAGAGUGAUGUAGGGGAGACUGGAAUUCCUGGUGUAGCGGUGGAAUGCGCAGAUAUCAGGAGGAACACCAAUGGCGAAGGCAGAUCUCUGGGCCGUAACUGACGCUGAGGAGCGAAAGCGUGGGGAGCGAACAGG